rnacentral:tRNA from 1 species
GAGCCUGUAGCUCAGUCUGGUUUAGAGCGCUGGUCUUAUAAGCCAGAGGUCUGGGGUUCAAAUCCCCGCAGGCUCA